CAGAUUUACUAUGGAUUAUUUAAUAACCUAGGAUAUGUUUUUUUCUGGACUAGUGCUUCUUGCACAAUUAGGAAGAAUUUGUACUCUGAUGGCUGUGAUCCAAGUAAUCCAACAAUGGCUGCUUAUGUAUGAAAGGUCCAAGAUUCCAGUAGUUGUUCAUUCCUCAAGGCUGGGUCUCCCUGCUGGUCUUCAGUAUAUGCCAGAAUCCCAAAGAAAACUUGCUAGCAAGGAUGGAAGCAAGCAGACAAAGAGAGUGUUAGGAUUGUAGCUAUGUACCACCACACCUGACACUACUGUUUGGGAAGGUCACCAGCCUUCUCAAACUGAAGGGGGAGAGCCAGGCCUUCACUGAGAUGCUCAUACCAACAUAGGAAGCUGCUGACAACACAUGUCAACAGUACCAGUGCCAUGCUGACAGCCCAACUACGUCUAGUUCUCCCAGGACAAGUGCUCAAGAUCAAUAGCUCCCCAAACCAGGUGAAUGCCAAUGGGGUGACCUUGCAGGUGGUGAAGUUGGUCCAUUUGGGAACCCUGGCCUUCAUGGUCUCCAGUGGCCCACGGACACCAGGAUGGUAAUGACUGACCAGAACGCUGAACUCAGGAUCAUCAUGGGAAAAAUCCUCACUACUCAGUGAGCCUGGAUGCUCUGCACCAGACUUUCUCCAAGUGUGGCACUGCCCUCGGGACCAUCAUCUUCACUAAGACCAACAAGUUGCAGAUAAAUGUAGCUACCACCAGGAAGCCUCUCUCUACUGCAAAUGGAGACCAUCAAAGGAAACCACAACUGGACACACUGCAGAGAGUAGCGGAUUGGGGGAACUCAGGCCCAGCCAACACAUCUCAAGCUCAGUUCUUGCAUCUAUUGCUCAGGAAACAUUGAGGAAGAGAGAGUGGAAGGAUUGUAAAAGCGAGAAUACCUGGAAGUCUGCAGUGAAACAGUUUCUUCUAGAAAUGGCUGAAUAAACAAAGCCAGAACAAUGCCAAUAUCAAUGGAGAUUUUUAACAUAGGAGAGAAAAUUUUCACUGGAUUCUACCACCAGACAGAGGGCUAUAGACAACUAAUGAGUUCUGGGAGAAUUAGCCUCUCCCAAGGAUACGCUCAUAUACUUAUUGGUUGUUUGAUGCAGAAUGGUCAGAAUAGAAACCAUAUAUACUCAAAUAACAAAAUGGACCCAGGAUCUUGGAUCACACAUACUCAUAUAUACAUAGAUAUGCACGUAACAGUAAUAACAAAAAGAGGCCAUCAACUUGAGAGUAAGGCCUAGGAGAGGCUGGAGGGAGAGAAGUAAGGUGUAAUUCUGCUUUAAUGAAAAACAUCAACUAAAAUAACCUUACAGACCAGAUGUAUAUUUUUUAAAAAGAAUCAGUUUACCAGUUCUUUUAAAAAUUAAAACUUAGUCAGGCAUGUUUGCAUGCAUCUUUAGUCCUGGCACUCGGGAGGCAAAGGCAGGUAGAUCUCUGUGAGUUCAAGACCAGCCUGGACUACAGGACACCUAAGGGCUACACAGAGAAAUUCUGUUUCAAAACAAAAACCCCACACAACUAUAAUAAACUAAGUAAAACUAAGUAGUUAAUAAAAAAAAAUCUAGCUUGUUUUACAGUCUAUGCAGGGGCCUGUGCCUGGAAAGGCCCAGGUGCGAGGUCUCAGCAGUCCCUAGAACAUAGCCACCUUCUUGGGCCUUAUACACUAGUACCCCACAACUCGCUUACUCAGGUCACCAGGGUCUGUUUUGACCUCCAGCUGAAUGAGGUGACCUGUACCAUGGGAUUCCUAGGCUGUUCAAAAGCUGUGGCUGAUGCUCCUCACCUUGUAAUCAAAUGACCUGAUUCUUCUAGGUUGCUAGGCAGACCAGAGGCCCUGCCACCCUUGGCUGCAGAACUUUCAUGAUGUUUUGUGUGGAUGCACUCCCAUCCCUAGCAAUAUUUCCAGUAGAAUCCUAAACUUUCCCCAUUUUUUGUGUGUACUUCUAUGCAACUUUUUAUAGCCACGAUACAAUGGUAUGCACGUACUCCUAGUUUCUAUGCACCUAUGCUCUUCUCUUCCUUCCUGGUAGCCAGUUCACAGUUGGGACUCAAGCUGACACAGCCUCCACCUGCCCUAUCAGGAGAAACAGCUUUGAAACUGUCGGGGCAUUUCCACCUCCAAAUUUUGUACCAAAGUUUGUUUCUAUCCACCUCUCACUUGUGCCCAGGUGGAAGGGCUGAUUCCAGGCCUUACCAGGUCUCCUCAACCCCCAUCUCUGUCUUUAUCCUCUCUUCAAAGGAGGCUGACUUGGACAAGUCAAGAGUGUGAAAAAUUCUGAUUUUAUACCUGUGGGAGGGCAUCAGUGUAGUGUUUGUUUUUAAUGGUGGUAGGUGUAUAUUUUGGUAAUAAUUAAUGAUGGUGUGUGUGUGUGUGUGUGUGUGUGUGUGUGUGUUUCUAUUCAAGCCAUUUUACAACCUGUGUCUUUCCUUCUUUGCUGUAGAAGGAAGCAUCAGCUGGACUGAGCCUGAAUUCAGUAAGCUUCUGUGUCCUGUGGGGGAUGGGGUGAUGCAUUAAAAUACAUGGAACCAGCAUUCAAACAAUGGAAAUGCAAUGUCAAUUCUGCUCACUCUACAACUCACUCUACUUCAAGUAUAAUAAAUAUAA